GACGAACGCUGGCGGCGUGCCUAAUACAUGCAAGUAGAACGCACAGUUUAUACCGUAGCUUGCUACACCAUAGACUGUGAGUUGCGAACGGGUGAGUAACGCGUAGGUAACCUGCCUGGUAGCGGGGGAUAACUAUUGGAAACGAUAGCUAAUACCGCAUAAUAUUAAUUAUUGCAUGAUAAUUAAUUGAAAGGUGCAAUUGCACCACUACCAGAUGGACCUGCGUUGUAUUAGCUAGUAGGUGAGGUAACGGCUCACCUAGGCGACGAUACAUAGCCGACCUGAGAGGGUGAUCGGCCACACUGGGACUGAGACACGGCCCAGACUCCUACGGGAGGCAGCAGGAGGGAAUCUUCGGCAAUGGACGAAAGUCUGAACGAGCAACGCCGCGGGAGUGAAGAAGGUUUUCGGAUCGUAAAGCUCUGUUGUAAGAGAAGAACGGGUGUGAGAGUGGAAAGUUCACACUGUGACGGUAUCUUACCAGAAAGGGACGGCUAACUACGUG
rnacentral:rRNA from 1 species